GGAGUUAAGCAGAAGCCAUCAGGAAGUGCACAGGCGUCCGGCGCACUCCUCCCUCCCUGCAGCCCCGGGCAGCAUCUCCCCGAGGCUCUGCGUCCCUGGCUCCUGGUGCGUCUACAGUGCAGGUGGCUCCUGGAAGACCCUCAGCCUGCCUGCUGAGGCCAUGUCGGACUACGAGAACGAUGAUGAGUGCUGGAGCAUCCUGGAGGGCUUCCGGGUGAUGCUCACCUCGGUCAUCGACCCCUCGCGCAUCACACCCUACCUGCGGCAGUGCAAGGUCCUGAACCCCGAUGAUGAGGAGCAGGUGCUCAGUGACCCCAACUUGGUCAUCCGCAAACGGAAAGUGGGCGUGCUCCUGGACAUCCUGCAGCGGACCGGCCACAAGGGCUACGUGGCCUUCCUUGAGAGCCUGGAGCUCUACUACCCACAGCUGUACAAGAAGGUCACGGGCAAGGAGCCGGCCCGUGUCUUCUCCAUGAUCAUCGACGCGUCCGGGGAGUCAGGCCUGACUCAGCUGCUGAUGACCGAGGUCAUGAAGCUGCAGAAGAAGGUGCAGGACCUGACCACGCUGCUGAGCUCCAAGGAUGACUUCAUCAAGGAGCUGCGGGUGAAGGACAGCCUGCUGCGCAAGCACCAGGAGCGGGUGCAGAGGCUCAAGGAGGAGUCCGAGGCCAGCAGCCGUGAGCUCAAGCGCUGCAAGGAGGAGAACUACGACCUGGCCAUGCGCUUGGCGCGCCAGAGCGAGGAGAAGGGCGCUGCGCUCAUGCGGAACCGUGACCUGCAGCUGGAGAUUGACCGGCUCAAGCACAACCUCAUGAAAGCCGAGGACGACUGCAAGGUGGAGCGCAAGCACACACUGAAGCUCAGGCAUGCCAUGGAGCAGAGGCCCAGCCAGGAGCUGCUGUGGGAGCUGCAGCAGGAGAAGGCCCUCCUCCAGGCCCGGGUGCAGGAGCUGGAGGCCUCCGUCCAGGAGGGGAAGCUGGACAGGAGCAGCCCCUACAUCCAGGUACUGGAGGAGGACUGGCGGCAGGCGCUGCGGGACCACCAGGAGCAGGCCAACACCAUCUUCUCCCUGCGCAAGGACCUCCGCCAGGGCGAGGCCCGACGCCUCCGGUGCAUGGAGGAGAAGGAGAUGUUCGAGCUGCAGUGCCUGGCCCUGCGUAAAGACUCCAAGAUGUACAAGGACCGCAUUGAGGCCAUCCUGCUGCAGAUGGAGGAGGUCGCCAUUGAACGGGACCAGGCCAUCGCCACACGGGAGGAGCUGCACCUGCAGCACGCCCGGGGCCUGCAGGAGAAGGACGUGCUGCGCAAGCAGGUGCGGGAGCUGGGUGAGAAGGCGGAUGAGCUGCAGCUGCAGGUGUUCCAGCGUGAGGCGCAGCUACUGGCCGUGGAGGGCAGGCUCAGGCGGCAGCAGCUGGAGACACUCGUUCUGAGCUCCGACCUGGAGGAUAGCUCACCCAGGAGUUCCCAGGAGCUCUCGCUCCCCCAGGACCUGGAGGACACCCAGCUCUCGGACAAAGGUGAGGUGGGGACGGCAGCGCACCUGGAGGCCUCCCGGCUGCCCCAAGCGAGGCCCAUCUUCAGCACAGGCAGCCCGUGCCGCAAUGCCUGUCUCAGCCCCCACAACCCCCACUCCACAGACGGAAACUAGGGCUGGAGAUAAGUAAAAUGGCCAAGGUCACCCAGAGAACAAACUACAGAGCCCAGUGGAACCCAGGCCCCAGCUGAUGGGACAAGUGUCCCCUGGGGUGGAGAGUGUGGGGCCCCUCUGGCAGCCCCCCAGGGUGCAGAGGUGAGCAGGCCCACUGUCCCGGCUGCUCCAAGCUUCCUCCUGGGCAGAGGGAGGUGGUAAUGAGCAAAUGCCCAGGGGCACAAAGCUAGAAAGUGGGGCGAGACGGGGCCCCACGUGGCUUGAGGGACAGGGCCGAAUGCAGGGGUGGCCAAGGGCCUGCUGUGUCCAGUGCAGUGGGGGUAAGGCAGUGGUGGGGGCUUCUAGCAGGCAGGACAGGCCCCCUGUGCCUCUCUGGGGGAAGAACGGGGGUGGCUGGCUGGGAGCAGCCCCCGAGUGCCCAGAAGCGGGUAGUGGUGAUGGGGUAGGUGUUUGCUCUGAAAGUGGUGUCAGAUGGGAGUCGGGGAGGGCCCAGCAGACGGCCCUGGGAGGCUGCAUGGGAGUUGGACGAGCUUCCCGAGCACCAGGCUGUGGCCUCCAAGCAGAGGCGGAAGGGGAAGGAGCCGCAGAUGGGGAAGUGAAGACCAGCACCUUUGGCCGCAGCCCAGAACACUUGAACCUGGGGACGCCAAGCCCCCAUGUAGGCACAGAGGCGAGCAGACCCAGGAGUCCAACUCAGGCACUGCCCCCAUCUCCCUGGGUGGCUGUGGCAGGGGUGGGGGCAGGCAUGAAGGUCCAAGGGUGAGCAGGGGAGGGGCUGGUUCUAAGGAGGGGCUGCCAAUGGCCAGGACGGCCCCGGCCUGGCCCUCCCCACAGCAGGGCUGAGACUGGACAUGCAUGGUUUCUGCCCAAGGGUCCUGACCCCUGGUCUGCCCAGGUCCUGGCGGGUUCUGAGGGGGUCUAGCCACCUGAAGGUUCUCUCCCAAUUGUGCAGUACCCCUGCCCCCGCCUCAGGAGGACACAGACAGCCACUGUAGCUGUUCCCAACUCUCUCCCCAGGGCCGCCAUGCCCACAGACGCUUUGGAGUGAUGGGGGACAGUGCUGCUCAGGCCAGGGUUUAAGCUCCCCUGAGGUCUGGGAGGCCUUCCUGCCUGGGGGGCAGCCAGCUUGGGGGAGGGAUGGUCACUAGCAGGAGCGUUGGGCCUGGGCUGGCACCUGGCAGCAUCCUGGAGUAAUGGAUGGGCAAGCGAGGCCGUAAGGCCUCAGUCUCAUCUACAGAAGGAUGCCUGGCCGGUGGGGGGAGCCCGGAACAGCCCUUUGCAGCUCUGCACCAGGAACAGCGUUCGCGGACCCCCCAUGACGCAGGCCUGAGCAGCGGGGAGCCGCCUGAGAAGGAGCGACGGCGCCUCAAGGAGAG